rnacentral:rRNA from 1 species
ACGGCUCAGUAACACGUAGUCAACAUGCCCAGGGGACGUGGAUAACCUCGGGAAACUGAGGCUAAACCGCGAUAGGCCAAGAUUUCUGGAAUGGUUCCUGACUAAAAUCUAUAUGGCCUCUGGAUUGGACUGCGGCCGAUCAGGCUGUUGGUGAGGUAAUGGCCCACCAAACCUGUAACCGGUACGGGCUCUGAGAGGAGGAGCCCGGAGAUGGGCACUGAGACAAGGGCCCAGGCCCUAUGGGGCGCAGCAGGCGCGAAACCUCUGCAAUAGGCGAAAGCCUGACAGGGUUACUCUGAGUGACUUUCGCUAAGAAAGUCUUUUGGCACCUCUAAAAAGGGUGCAGAAUAAGGGGUGGGCAAGUCUGGUGUCAGCCGCCGCGGUAAUACCAGCACCCCGAGUGGUCGGGACGAUUAUUGGGCCUAAAGCAUCCGUAGCUUGUUCUGCAAGUCCUCCGUUAAAUCCACCUGCUCAACAGAUGGGCCGCGGGGGAUACUACAGGGCUAGGAGGCGGGAGAGGCAAACGGUACUCAGUGGGUAGGGGUAAAAUCCUCUGAUCCACUGAAGACCACCAGUGGCGAAGGCGGUUUGCCAGAACGCGCUCGACGGUGAGGGAUGAAAGCUGGGGGAGCAAACCGGAUUAGAUACCCGGGUAGUCCCAGCUGUAAACGAUGCAGAUCGUGGGAGUAGUGGGGGGUCUUGGGAGCCAACCCAGUGCCGCAGGGGAAGCCGUUAAGUCUGCCGCCUGGGGAGUACGGUCGCAAGACUGAAACUUAAGGGAAUUGGCGGGGGGAG